UACGUAGGGACCGAGCGUUGUCCGGAAUUAUUGGGCGUAAAGAGCUCGUAGGCGGUUUGUCGCGUCUGCUGUGAAAACCCGAGGCUCAACCUCGGGCCUGCAGUGGGUACGGGCAGACUAGAGUGCGGUAGGGGAGAUUGGAAUUCCUGGUGUAGCGGUGGAAUGCGCAGAUAUCAGGAGGAACACCGAUGGCGAAGGCAGAUCUCUGGGCCGUAACUGACGCUGAGGAGCGAAAAGCGUGGGGAGCGAACAGG
rnacentral:rRNA from 1 species